rnacentral:rRNA from 1 species
CAGCGUUUGACAUGUCCGGACGAUUUCGAGAGAUCGAUUUCUUCCCUCCGGGGACUGGAACACAGGUGCUGCAUGGCUGUCGUCAGCUCGUGUCGUGAGAUGUUGGGUUAAGUCCCGCAACGAGCGCAACCCUCGCCUUUAGUUACCAUCAUUUAGUUGGGGACUCUAAAGGAACCGCCGGUGAUAAGCCGGAGGAAGGUGGGGAUGACGUCAAGUCCUCAUGGCCCUUACGCGCUGGGCUACACACGUGCUACAAUGGCAACUACAGUGGGCAGCAAUCCUGCAAGGGUGAGCUAAUCUCCAAAAGUUGUCUCAGUUCGGAUUGUUCUCUGCAACUCGAGAGCAUGAAGGCGGAAUCGCUAGUAAUCGCGGAUCAGCAUGCCGCGGUGAAUA